GAUGCACGUGUCUGCCUAAUAGAACUGACGCUUAAUACACUCAAAUUGUGAAGGAGAUUUUAAUCCUCACAAAACCUCAUCUUUUCACUCAGCCUCUGGCUCUCCUGUCUGGGGAGGAGAAAUAUUCAGCAAGGCUGGUCAGACAACAAGGCUUAGUAUCCAGCUCCAGUCCCCAAGAGAGCUUUCUUUUAUCUCCAGAGGCUGAUCCCACUUAGACCCCUCCUAUGCCUGGUUUUGCUGUAAAUCCAGAACAAUAAUCCCCACUGUGCUGAAAUAUUCACAAGAGGAAUAUCACUGCUGUUAUUUAAGGAAUGCCACAAAAAAGAAGACAUGGAAAUGCGUGGAGCUCAAGUCUCGGGUGUGUUUGGGAAGAGGCACCUGCAGAUCUGGGGACCUCACCCUGAGAAAUCUGGUGGGCCAGGGAAGUGUAAGCCUGGCUGACACAGUGAAGUAUCCAACGAAGGAUGAGCUCUGUGUGUUUUACUUCUGGUUUAUGUAUCCAGUUGAGUUAAUAAAAACUAA